GGGAGAUGUCACUACUACUUUACAGAUGUGGCAUCUGAGCCUCAGGGGAGCUGAGGAUCUCAUCCAUGGGCACAAAGUGCCAUUGAGCUGGGCUCUAAAGAUCAGGCCUCCAGACAGAGGGGACCCAACAAGAAAGACUGUUUGCAGGAUGGCUCCCACAAUUUUGGUUAUGGGUCAACACAUGUUUGAUACAAGGAACUUGUGGAGUUUUAACCAUGAAUGAACUCUGUAAAUCAAGGCACACAAUGAAUGACUGAUCAACUGAUUGAUUGACAUGUCGCACAGGAAGUUGCUAGCAGUGAUAGGGCUACAUUCUGGGUCUCCACCACCCUGGACUUCCUCAGUGGGGAACAAAUUUACUCUGACCAUGGCUGGCUUGAGCAGGCUCUGCAGCUCCAGGCUGGAAAGCCUCCUGAAAACCUGAAGUAAAAGGCAGCA